GAUGAACGCUGGCGGCGUGCCUAAUACAUGCAAGUCGAGCGAACAGACGAGGAGCUUGCUCCUCUGACGUUAGCGGCGGACGGGUGAGUAACACGUGGAUAACCUACCUAUAAGACUGGGAUAACUUCGGGAAACCGGAGCUAAUACCGGAUAAUAUAUUGAACCGCAUGGUUCAAUAGUGAAAGACGGUUUUGCUGUCACUUAUAGAUGGAUCCGCGCCGCAUUAGCUAGUUGGUAAGGUAACGGCUUACCAAGGCAACGAUGCGUGGCCGACCUGAGAGGGUGAUCGGCCACACUGGAACUGAGACACGGUCCAGACUCCUACGGGAGGCAGCAGUAGGGAAUCGUCCGCAAUGGGCGAAAGCCUGACGGAGCAACGCCGCGUGAGUGAUGAAGGUCUUCGGAUCGUAAAACUCUGUUAUUAGGGAAGAACAAAUGUGUAAGUAACUAUGCACGUCUUGACGGUACCUAAUCAGAAAGCCACGGCUAACUACGUG
rnacentral:rRNA from 1 species